AACGGCCAUCCAAGCGGGACCUAAAACGACUCUGCUGGCCCCCGAAUCCUCCAACCACCCCCUUGCAUGACGCCGCCCUGCUCCCAAUCCCCUAUGGCCGCCGCCUCCCAUCCGGCGACGCCGCACUCCACCGCCGGCGGAUGACCCCACACCGCUGCUCCCCCACUCCUCCAGCGCCGUCUACCUGCCCGUCCACGGCCGCCUCGUCGCCGUCCGACCACUCGCCUCCCUCACCGGCCAACGCUGCCCCGUCAACGUCCAGCCACUCGCCUCCCUUGCCGGCCAGCCUCCCCUUGCGCGCCCUCCAACCAUUCCAGCGGCGCCUUCAUCCCCGACGACCGGCUCCCCUCGUAGAUUCGCAGUACAGCGCCGCUUCGAUCCCCAUCGACCGGCGCUUCCAGCGCCGCCCCUUCGACGUCCAACAGUCUCCCUCGUGGUCGAGCCUCUCCAGCGCCUCCGCAUCGACCGGCGCUUCCAGCGCCGCCCCUUCGACGUCCAACAACCCCCCUCGUCGUCGAGCCUCUCCAGCGCCUCCGCAUCGACCGGCGCCUCCUCGUCCUCCAGAUCUGACUCACUUCCUCGCCCUUUGUUUCCUUUCCAGCCCAGCGCCUCCAAAUCGACCAAAAAAGAAGGCCAAAUCAGGACAGCGUAGUUCUACGAAGACCAAGUUCUAGGAGUGAUAGUGUUGCACAUCAGCCCUCUCCAUUGACAGAUGAAUGAAACACCCCAGGCCCAAGAGGAUGGUGGUACUCCAAUGACAGAUUCUUCACAUGAUGAAAGGCAUGUUGAUGCUGCUACUCAAAUGGAUGAUCAUGGUUCUGGUCCAACACCUGAAAAUCAUUUAGGAAUGCCAUAGUUAUAAUUAGUGCUUGUAUUGGUAACUAUAUGCACGGACCCUUUUAUUUGUCAAUCGCUACUACUGAUGAAAAUUUGGGACUCUAGUAUGUCUUUUGGUCUGGCUAAUAACUAGUGUUAAGUUGAGCUUUUGGUAAUUACGCGAAUCUGGUGAACAUGGAGGUUUGUGUAAUGGGUAUAUAUUGUGAGCUAUGAAUGGGAUGCCAUCUUAAACUGGGCUA